rnacentral:lncRNA from 1 species
AUUAAAUGCACCAGUACUACUACUACAGCUAAAAUAGACUAAUCACACUCAAACAAGCUUCUUCCAUUCCACGUGCAGUUUCAUGUUAAAUUAGCGUAUUUACACCCUCGUUCUUUUUCAACAAGACAAGGACCUGAGAAAAAUAAUAGUGGGCCAAAAAAGAAACUCAUAAUUUUCAUGGGUUUUUUAUUUUUUAUUUUAAUGCUGUUUCAAAUUCAAAAGGUUUCACCGUUAUUGAGUUGGUUG